GACCGCGACCCCAGGUCAGGCGGGACUACCCGCUGAGUUUAA
rnacentral:rRNA from 1 species